GAUGAACGCUGGCGGCGUGCCUAAUACAUGCAAGUCGAGCGAACAGACGAGGAGCUUGCUCCUCUGACGUUAGCGGCGGACGGGUGAGUAACACGUGGAUAACCUACCUAUAAGACUGGGAUAACUUCGGGAAACCGGAGCUAAUACCGGAUAAUAUAUUGAACCGCAUGGUUCAAUAGUGAAAGACGGUUUUGCUGUCACUUAUAGAUGGAUCCGCGCCGCAUUAGCUAGUUGGUAAGGUAACGGCUUACCAAGGCAACGAAGCGUAGCCGACCUGAGAGGGUGAUCGGCCACACUGGAACUGAGACGCGGUCCAGACUCCUACGGGAGGCAGCAGUAGGGAAUCUUCCGCAAUGGGCGAAAGCCUGACGGAGCAACGCCGCGUGAGUGAUGAAGGUCUUCGGAUCGUAAAACUCUGUUAUUAGGGAAGAACAAAUGUGUAAGUAACAAUGCACGUCUUGACGGUACCUAAUCAGAAAGCCACGGCUAACUACGUG
rnacentral:rRNA from 1 species